CAUGAAGCUGGAAUCGCUAGUAAUCGCGGAUCAGCAUGCCGCGGUGAAUACGUUCUCGGGCCUUGUACACACCGCCCGUCACACCAUGGGAGUCGGUAACACCCGAAGUCUGUAGCCUGACGCAAGAGGGCGCAGCCGAAGGUGGGAUUGAUGACUGGGGUGAAGUCGUAACAAGGUACC
rnacentral:rRNA from 1 species